UACGAAGGGGGCUAGCGUUGUUCGGAAUUACUGGGCGUAAAGCGCGCGUAGGCGGCUUUGCAAGUCAGAGGUGAAAGCCCGGGGCUCAACCCCGGAAUUGCCUUUGAGACUGCAUCGCUAGAACGUCGGAGAGGUAAGUGGAAUUCCGAGUGUAGAGGUGAAAUUCGUAGAUAUUCGGAAGAACACCAGUGGCGAAGGCGACUUACUGGACGACUGUUGACGCUGAGGUGCGAAAGCGUGGGGAGCAAACAGG
rnacentral:rRNA from 1 species